AGUGAACGCUGGCGGUAGGCCUAACACAUGCAAGUCGAACGGCAGCACAGUAAGAGCUUGCUCUUACGGGUGGCGAGUGGCGGACGGGUGAGGAAUACAUCGGAAUCUACUUUUUCGUGGGGGAUAACGUAGGGAAACUUACGCUAAUACCGCAUACGACCUACGGGUGAAAGCAGGGGAUCUUCGGACCUUGCGCGAUUGAAUGAGCCGAUGUCGGAUUAGCUAGUUGGCGGGGUAAAGGCCCACCAAGGCGACGAUCCGUAGCUGGUCUGAGAGGAUGAUCAGCCACACUGGAGCUGAGACACGGUCCAGACUACUACGGGAGGCAGCAGUGGGGAAUAUUGGACAAUGGGCGCAAGCCUGAUCCAGCCAUACCGCGUGGGUGAAGAAGGCCUUCGGGUUGUAAAGCCCUUUUGUUGGGAAAGAAAAGCAGCAGGUUAAUACCCCGCUGUUCUGACGGUACCCAAAGAAUAAGCACCGGCUAACUUCGUG
rnacentral:rRNA from 1 species